AUUAGUCUCCUGUUGGAGCGCUGCAGCACAUGAUUAGGAUUUUAUUGCAAAAUUAGCACGGAUAUAACAACACUUUAUAUUAACACUAUUAAGCAGCGCAAACUAAUGGCUGCACACAAACUGU